AUUUCUCUGUGUCUCUCUCUCUUUCUCUGUCCCGUCGCCCUCUCCGCCCUGUCUUGGGACGGCCGGCUCUGGCUCUAAGAAUUCCUGCUAUGACACUUGAUUCAGCCAGGAGAUGACGUCAAAUGCAGUCAGAAACCAUUACACUGGUGAAGAGGUAUAUUUAGCCCUGCCUGGUUAACCUCCAGCGAGGUUAUCAGAGAAUUGGGAAAGGCUCAAAUCAGCAUCCUGGAUAUGGUUAUUAAACCAUUACAAAGCCUUGAUUCCUGGGCAGUCAGAAACCUGUCAUUGAUCAAGAGCAACAUUAAGAUCUGCCUAUUUAUACUGAUGCUUCUUGCCCAGCAAGCUCAUCCAGAGAGCCAACGUGAAUCACUGUUGUCGUGGAUGGCCUUGUGAGGCAGGUGAGAAGGCUUGGCUGAAUUGUGAAGGACACCUUUGAAAAGUGUUUUAGAGUCUACUGGAUCUUUCAUGUGAGUGACCACACAAAAGAAGAAAGGGAGUCCUCUGAGUG